AGAGGGUGCAAGCGUUAAUCGGAAUUACUGGGCGUAAAGCGCGCGUAGGCGGCUUGACAAGUCGAGUGUGAAAUCCCCGGGCUUAACCUGGGACCUGCAUUCGAAACUGUCUUGCUAGAGUAUGGGAGAGGGAAGUGGAAUUUCAGGUGUAGCGGUGAAAUGCGUAGAUAUCUGAAGGAACAUCAGUGGCGAAAGCGACUUCCUGGACCAAUACUGACGCUCAGGUGCGAAAGCGUGGGGAGCAAACAGGAUUAGAUACCCUGGUAGUCCACGCCAUAAACGAUGACAACUAGAUGUUGGGAGGGUUAGCCUCUCGGUGUCGUAGCUAACGCGUUAAGUUGUCCGCCUGGGGAGUACGGCCGCAAGGUUG
rnacentral:rRNA from 1 species